rnacentral:rRNA from 1 species
UACGUAGGGGGCAAGCGUUGUCCGGAUUUAUUGGGCGUAAAGAGCGUGUAGGCGGCCGGACAGGUCCGUUGUGAAAACUCGAGGCUCAACCUCGAGACGCCGAUGGAAACCGUCUGGCUAGAGUCCGGAAGAGGAGAGUGGAAUUCCUGGUGUAGCGGUGAAAUGCGCAGAUAUCAGGAAGAACACCCGUGGCUAAGGCGGCUCUCUAGUACGGUACUGACGCUGAGACGCGAAAGCGUGGGGAGCGAACAGG